rnacentral:rRNA from 1 species
GACGAACGCUGGCGGCGUGCUUAACACAUGCAAGUCGAGCGGUAAGGCCCUUUCGGGGGUACACGAGCGGCGAACGGGUGAGUAACACGUGGGUGACCUGCCCUUAGCUCUGGGAUAAGCCUGGGAAACUGGGUCUAAUACCGGAUAUGACUCCAUGACGCAUGUUGUGGGGUGGAAAGCCUUGUGCGGCUAGGGAUGGGCCCGCGGCCUAUCAGCUUGUUGGUGGGGUGAUGGCCACCAAGGCGACGACGGGUAGCCGGCCUGAGAGGGCGACCGGCCACACUGGGACUGAGACACGGCCCAGACUCCUACGGGAGGCAGCAGUGGGGAAUCUUGCGCAAUGGGCGAAAGCCUGACGCAGCGACGCCGCGUGGGGAUGACGGCCUCGGUUGUAAC